AGAUGAAGUUUGAAGCUUCACUGGGCUCACUGUUGCCAGCAGCGUUCACGGCAGUCACUCGGAACUGAUAAUGAGUAGACGCCUUGGUGGCUCCUCUGGCAGUUCUUGAUGACCAUGGAUGAGCUAAUUGCUGUGGUCUCAAUGGCGGCCUCUUGAGGCAAGGCUCUUUCAUUCAUACUCCAGGUGACAGUGGGAGGUGGCUUCCCAGAUACAUAGGCAAUGAUACGGAUCACCCCUCCGGCGUGGACCACUAUUCUGUCUCUGACACUGGCAUCAAGCUGAAGGUCAGGCAGCCAGUAAUUGGAGACCCUCCGUUGUCCAGAGGAGGGGUCCAGCUCACAAGCAUAGAUCCUUUGGUACGUUCUAAGACUUUCGGUUUUCCAGGAGGCCCGGGGAGGCGGAGUUACUUACAGAUUGGAUCGCGAGCUGUUUUAGGAUCCGAAGGUGGGCUGAACUUUCCAGGUCCAGCAGCGUUUUCAGCACAAACUCGGAAGACAUAGGUGAGACACAUACCCCCAAUCAAUAAAACAUACCAAUAGGGUCGACAGCUUUGGUUGGGGGAGUGGCCCGGGAAGGUUCACCAAUACCAGCAGCGUUCUCCGCUCGCACACGGAAUUGGUACUCUU
rnacentral:lncRNA from 1 species